GAUGAACGCUGGCGGCGUGCCUAACACAUGCAAGUCGAACGGAAACGCCCUUCUAAGGUCUUGUGCUCGAAUGGCGAAAGGGUGAGUAACACGUGAGUGAGCUACCCUUGACUAAGGUAGAACUUCAGGAAAGUUGGGCGAGUACCGGUUAUGCUAUCCUGCCGCAAGCACAGGCUGGGGCAUGGUCGGCGGUGGGGGAUGGACUCCCGUCUUAUCAGCUUGCGUGUGGGGUAGCGGCUGACCAAGUCUGUGACGGGCAGACGGGCUGAGAGGGUCGGCGGCCACGUUGGGACUGAGAUGCGGCACAGACUCCUACGGGAGGCAGCGGUGGAGAAGAUGGUACAAUAGGCGGGAGCCUGAUGCAGCAACGCCGCGUGCGGGAUGACGGCCUUCGGGUUGUAAACCGCUUUCGCCUGAGACGAAGCGUGAGUGACGGUAAUGGGUAAAGAAGCACCGGCUAACUACGUG
rnacentral:rRNA from 1 species